AGGAUCAUUAAAGAAAUAAUCUCGAGGGCCGAUGGAAAGGAGAGAGGGUUGUAGCUGGCGUAAGCACGUGCACGCCCUCUUUCUCGACCUAGGUCCUUAUGGGCGCGGGGCGACCCGCGUCUUCAUAAGCCCCUUUGGGGUGGAAAGCAUAGAAAGGUUUUUACCAUCAUCGACUCGCGACUUCUAGGAGACGCGAUUCUUUGAGACAAAAGUUAUUACAACUUUCAGCAAUGGAUCUCUUGGCUCUCGCAUCGAUGAAGAACGCAGCGAAUCGCGAUAUGUAAUGUGAAUUGCAGAUCUACAGUGAAUCAUCGAAUCUUUGAACGCACCUUGCGCUUAUCGGUGUUCCGAUGAGCAUGCCUGUUUGAGCGUCAUUAAAUUCUCAACCCCUCUCGAUUUGCUUCGAGAGGGUGCUUGGAUAGUGGAGGCUGCCGGAGACCUGUUUUUUCAGGACUCGGGCUCCUCUGAAAUGUAUUGGCUUGCGGUCGACUUUCGACUGUGCAUGACAAGGCCUUUGGCGUGAUAAUGAUCGCCGCUCGCCGAAGUGCACGAACGAAUGGUCUCGUGCCCCUAAUCAGUCGAUGUCUUUUCGAAGGCGUCUUCCUUAUUGACGUUGACC
rnacentral:rRNA from 1 species